rnacentral:rRNA from 1 species
UACGUAGGGGGCGAGCGUUGUCCGAAGUUACUGGGCGUAAAGGGUGCGUAGGCGGCUUUUUAAGUUUGGUGUGAAAUCUCCCGGCUCAACUGGGAGGGUGCGCCGAAUACUGAGAGGCUAGAGUGUGGGAGAGGAAAGUGGAAUUCCUGGUGUAGCGGUGAAAUGCGUAGAUAUCAGGAGGAACACCGGUGGUGUAAACGGCUUCUGGACCAUAACUGACGCUGAGGCACGAAAGCGUGGGUAGCAAACAGG